rnacentral:rRNA from 1 species
GAUGAACGCUGGCGGCGUGCCUAAUACAUGCAAGUCGAGCGAACAGACGAGGAGCUUGCUCCUCUGACGUUAGCGGCGGACGGGUGAGUAACACGUGGAUAACCUACCUAUAAGACUGGGAUAGCUUCGGGAAACCGGAGCUAAUACCGGAUAAUAUAUUGAACCGCAUGGUUCAAUAGUGAAAGACGGUUUUGCUGUCACUUAUAGAUGGAUCCGCGCCGCAUUAGCUAGUUGGUAAGGUAACGGCUUACCAAGGCAACGAUGCGUAGCCGACCUGAGAGGGUGAUCGGCCACACUGGAACUGAGACACGGUCCAGACUCCUACGGGAGGCAGCAGUAGGGAAUCUUCCGCAAUGGGCGAAAGCCUGAUGGAGCAACGCCGCGUGAGUGAUGAAGGUCUUCGGAUCGUAAAACUCUGUUAUUAGGGAAGAACAAAUGUGUAAGUAACUAUGCACGUCUUGACGGUACCUAAUCAGAAAGCCACGGCUAACUACGUG